CCCUUAGAUGUUCUGGGCUGCACGCGCGCUACAAUGAUGCAGGCAACGAGUGCCGCUCCUUAGCCGAAAGGCUUGGGGAAUCUUGAAAACUGCAUCGUGCUAGGGAUAGAUGAUUGCAAUCGUGCAUCUUGAACGAGGAAUGCCUUGUAAGCGUGAGUCAUCAACUCGCGCUGAAUACGUCCCUGCCCUUUGUACACACCGCCCGUCGCUCCUACCGAUUGGAUGGUCCGGUGAACUGGUCGGACUGCUGUUUGAAAUUGCGGGUGCAGUUGAUUCACGGGAAGUCUAGUAAACCUUAUCAUCUAGAGGAAGGAGAAGUCGUAACA
rnacentral:rRNA from 1 species